rnacentral:rRNA from 1 species
CCUACGGGGGGCAGCAGUGAGGAAUAUUGGUCAAUGGGCGCGAGCCUGAACCAGCAAAGCAGCGUGAAGGAUGACUGCUUUACGGGUUGUAAACUUCUUUUAUAAAGGAAUAAUGUGAGGCACGUAUGCCUUUUUGUAUGUACUUUAUCAUUAAGGAUCGGCUAACUCCGCGCCAGCAGCCGCGGUAAUACGGAGGAUCCGAGCGUUAUCCGGAUUUAUUGGGUUUAAAGGGAGCGUAGAUGGGGUGUUAAGUCAGUUGUGAAAGUUUGCGGCUCAACCGUAAAAUUGCAAUUGAUACUGGCAGCCUUGAGUAUAGUUGAGGUAGGCGGAAUUCGUGGUGUAGCGGUGAAAUGCUUAGAUAUCACGAAGAACACCGAUUGCGAAGGCAGCUUACCAAUCUAUAUCUGACGUUGAGGCACGAAAGCGUGGGGAGCAAACAGGAUUAGAUACCCCAGUAGUC